GGCACACCGGGACCACGCAGCCUCCACGCGUGUGGAGGUGUCGGCUGCUGGGAGCGAGCAUCCGAGCCACCGUCUCGUGGUGCCUGAGACAGGGAAAGUGAAGCAGCUCCCGCGCGACGCAGGUCAUGGCAGGAUGCUUUAUAUAACCCACAGCCACAGAGAAAACCAAAAUAGCUGCCACCCUGCUGCUCAGCUCGUCUCUGCCAUCAAACAUGGAUAAAAUUAGAGCAGUCGGUGACGUGCACCUACGUCUGCGCAGGGACUCCAGGGAGACAGGGGGAGCCGGCUCUGGGCUCUGCCAUUAGCGGCACAGCCUGCCAGAGCUUUCAAGUAAAAUCCGUCAGUGAGGCUAGUGUGUGGUCGCAGGGGAUGGAUGUGUGGAAGAGAGGGCUGCGGCGGGGUGCACGGCUUACUGAAGGAGCUCUGGGACCGCUCCACGCCUCGCCCCUGCCUCUUGGGAACACAGGCUGAGCGCUCACACGCAAACCAGGCUUCGGCGCUGAGCUGACCCUCGCCUUGCUGCCGCAGACACCACCGGCGCUGGAGCAGGGCUUCUCCCAAGGCUCAGCUCUCCACUGACACGUUUCAGAGGGCCAAACCCCAAGCAGGGGAGUGCCGGGGUGGGAAAGCUGCCAGAGCUCUGAGCAAACGUGCCUCCGUGGGCUGGGACACAGAGCUGCGGCUGUUCCCUGGGAGGCGACCCGCAGAGCUGGCCAGCCCCCCUCUGCCUCUGCUGACUUUGCAUCCCGGUGGAGCCCCAGGCUCGGUAGCACUGGAGGGUGAAAAGCUGGUUCAGAAAACAGUGUGGAGCUCAGAAAGAAAUUAACGGGGAAAAAGAGCCAGCAAACAGCCUAGGCUAGGAGCUGGAAAACAGUCACCUACAUCCCCGUACAGAGACCCAGAUAAGGGCUGAGCCUUUCCUGGAUGACACAUGCUCAAAGCCUCUGAAUACUAGGUAGAAAUAAUAGUGUCAUUGUCCAAAGCACACGCAGAUGGAAAUGUCUAACUUCAGAUUUUUCUUUGUAUUCACUGGCUUUGAUUUUUAUUGUCUGGUUUGCGGGUCUGACCAGAGGAGAGGGAGCCAGGGAUGUGAUUGUCCACUAUGCUGUGACAUUGACCCAGUCCGUGACCUUGGGCGUAUCCUUCCCUGAUGUCUUUGUGUCUGUGUGGUUGCUUUGGUGUCUCAUCCUCUUCUCUGGGGCUAAUGUUCUCCAUUCGCAUUCAGCUGACAAGGCAAAGAGGUCACUCCAUCACUGUUCAGUUGGGCUUAGUUUCUGUUCCUUCAUACAGAGGGCCUCAUCAUAUUGUCUUGGUAAACACAAGCACAAGGAUGUGAAAGCACAGAAGUGUUCUUUAAAAUGCUCUGGCCGUGAUGUGGCCUGUCUGGAUCUGCACAUGAACAUCCAAGCAUGAAGUUUGCUGCUUUAAGCCUCUCAAGAUUGAAGCUUAUGCUGAUUCCUUCAACUGCUUGUCAUCAAAGGCAUGUUUUGCCUGGAGAGAGAGGACCGGUGAUGUUUAUGAAAUACAAGUGGAACAGUGUUGUAA